rnacentral:pre_miRNA from 3 species
AGUGGAAUUGCUGGGUCAUAUGGUGAUUCUGUGUUUAACAUUCUGAGGAACUGCCAAACAGUUUUCCAAAGUAGCUGUACCAUUUCACAUUCCCACUAGCAAU